rnacentral:sRNA from 1 species
AGGGCCCAGAAACAUGUGAGAAACAGCAGAUCAGAAGGGUCUCCAGACUGAUGGGCGGGUGAUCCUAUAUUCUUGUUGGGCUGACAACUCUUCUGGUUUCGGGCUCCAGGUGCUGGCAAGAAAUCUCAGAGAGUUAGCCAGCCUGUUCAAGGGCUUAGGAGAAAGUCAACACACUUCGCAACUUGAAUUGGUCCCAGCUGCUCCCAGAAGAACGGGCGGGUUGGUCCCUAUGCCACCCCUGGAGAGCUACUCGCCGCCCACUUUGCCGUGAAGGGCUGUGCGGUUCCCGUGCACGCCGGAGCCUGCUGUGGCCUCUUAUGCACUCCACCACCCCCAUCAGCUCCCUCUUCUCCUUCACCAGCCCCGCAGUGAAGAGACUGCUAGGCUGGAAGCAAGGAGAUGAAGAGGAAAAGUGGGCAGAGAAGGCAGUGGACUCUCUAGUGAAGAAGUUAAAGAAGAAGAAGGGAGCCAUGGACGAGCUGGAGAGGGCUCUCAGCUGCCCGGGGCAGCCCAGCAAAUGCGUCACGAUUCCCCGCUCCCUGGAC